AACGAACGCUGGCGGCAUGCCUAACACAUGCAAGUCGAACGAGACCUUCGGGUCUAGUGGCGCACGGGUGCGUAACGCGUGGGAACCUGCCCUUAGGUUCGGAAUAACUCCCCGAAAGGGGUGCUAAUACCGGAUAAUGUCUUCAGACCAAAGAUUUAUCGCCUUUGGAUGGGCCCGCGUUGGAUUAGCUAGUUGGUAGGGUAAAAGCCUACCAAGGCGACGAUCCAUAGCUGGCCUGAGAGGAUGAUCAGCCACACUGGGACUGAGACACGGCCCAGACUCCUACGGGAGGCAGCAGUGGGGAAUAUUGGACAAUGGGCGAAAGCCUGAUCCAGCAAUGCCGCGUGAGUGAUGAAGGCCUUAGGGUUGUAAAGCUCUUUUACCCGGGAUGAUAAUGACAGUACCGGGAGAAUAAGCUCCGGCUAACUCCGUG
rnacentral:rRNA from 1 species